UAAAACAUCGCCGAGUACAACUUCAAUAGGUAACUUAUAUUAUAAAUUUUUCUUAUUUUAUAUAAAUUUUAUUCGUACAUUAAAUUUUUUAAAUUUUUAGCCCAUCGUAACAGUAAUUCCUGGCUCCGCCCCUGCCUACUUUCAUUCUUCCCAACAAAUUUCAAGCCAAAUUCUUCCAAAAUGCUAACCAUCUCUAGGUUCACCUGCAAGAAUUGAUGAGGAAAUAUGUAGCGUUUGAGAUAAGAAAAAGUCUAUGAAAUAGUGACUUUGUUAAGUAAUAUUAAUUAAUAUCGUGGGAUCAAACAGAUUCUACUUGUAGAAUACAAAAUCCCAUGACGUGUCAAAGCCAAAAGUGGUGGUCCGCUGCAGAAAUCAGUAAACAUAUACACAACAGGGAGAAAUUGAACAAAAAAUACACAAAAAGAACAUGAAAACAACAGACGUUAGGUAUUUUGGUUUCGACCUCUCAAAAGAAGGGCAAAAAGGGAACAAAAUUAUAGAUUGAAGAAACAUAUACACAACAACCUAAACCUAACCACCCCUUAAAACAUGACUUUACUUAUUUUGGGUUCAACCUCUUCAAAGAUCGAACUAAAAAAAUGAAAACUCAGAAUAGAUUGAACAACACAACUUAAUAAACCAGAAGCAAUAUACAGAAGAUGAAGAAAUCGAAGCAUCAAAGAUUAUACUUACAUGUGAGUGUCCCAAACAAACUGCCUCAUUUUUUCUGGAAUUUCUUGCUAUGGUUGUGAUUGUCGCGAGAGAGAUAGAGAGAGAGAGAGAGAGAGUGCAGCUAGGGUUAAGAGACAAAGAAAAUAGGCAAUCGAGAGUCGAGUCCUGUGUUUUGUCCCUUUUUUACCCAAACGACGCCGUUUAGGCCGAAUUGGA
rnacentral:lncRNA from 1 species